rnacentral:rRNA from 1 species
UUGGUGGGGUAAUGGCCUACCAAGGCGACGACGGGUAGCCGGCCUGAGAGGGUGACCGGCCACACUGGGACUGAGACACGGCCCAGACUCCUACGGGAGGCAGCAGUGGGGAAUCUUGCACAAUGGGCGAAAGCCUGAUGCAGCGACGCCGCGUGAGGGAUGACUGCCUUCGGGUUGUAAACCUCUUUCAGCAGGGAAGAAGCGAAAGUGACGGUACCUGCAGAAGAAGCACCGGCUAACUACGUGCCAGCAGCCGCGGUAAUACGUAGGGUGCGAGCGUUGUCCGGAAUUAUUGGGCGUAAAGAGCUUGUAGGCGGUUUGUCGCGUCUGCCGUGAAAUUUCGAGGCUCAACCUCGAACUUGCGGUGGGUACGGGCAGACUAGAGUGUGGUAGGGGAGACUGGAAUUCCUGGUGUAGCGGUGAAAUGCGCAGAUAUCAGGAGGAACACCGAUGGCGAAGGCAGGUCUCUGGGCCACUACUGACGCUGAGAAGCGAAAGCAUGGGGAGCGAACAGGAUUAGAUACCCUGGUAGUCCAUGCCGUAAACGUUGGGAACUAGGUGUGGGUCUCAUUCCACGAGAUCCGUGCCGCAGCUAACGCAUUAAGUUCCCCGCCUGGGGAGUACGG